rnacentral:rRNA from 1 species
GACAGAGGUGGCAAGCGUUGUUCGGAAUUACUGGGCUUAAAGGGCGCGUAGGCGGUGGAGUAAGUCUGAGGUGGAAGAUCAGGGCCUAACCCUGAAAUUGCCUUGGAAACUGCAUCACUUGAGUCAGCGAGGGGAUGGCGGAAUUCCAGGUGUAGCGGUGAAAUGCGUAGAUAUCUGGAGGAAGGCCGGUGGCGAAGGCGGCCAUCUGGCGCUGAACUGACGCUGAGGCGCGAAAGCGUGGGGAGCAAACAGGAUUAGAUACCCUGGUAGUCCACGCCCUAAACGGUGGGUACUAGGUGUAGGGCUCGCAAGGGUUCUGUGCCGUAGGGAAACCAUUAAGUACCCCGCCUGGGGAGUACGGCCGCAAGGUUGAAACUUAAAUGAAUUGACGG